rnacentral:misc_RNA from 1 species
GAUGAAGAACGCAGCGAAAUGCGAUAAGUAGUGUGAAUUGCAGAAUUCAGUGAAUCAUCGAAUCUUUGAACGCACAUUGCGCCCCUUGGUAUUCCAUGGGGCAUGCCUGUUCGAGCGUCAUUUGUACCUUCAAGCUCUGCUUGGUGUUGGGUGUUUGUCUCGCCUCUGCGUGUAGACUCGCCUCAAAACAAUUGGCAGCCGGCGUAUUGAUUUCGGAGCGCAGUACAUCUCGCGCUUUGCACUCAUAACGACGACGUCCAAAAGUACACUUUUACACUCUUGACCUCGGAUCAGGUAGGGAUACCCGCUGAACUUAAGCAUAUCAAUAAGCGGAGGA